rfam:Macaca mulatta chromosome 20, whole genome shotgun sequence.
CUGGCGUCGGUACUAGGGAGCGGCCCCCGGGGCGGGCCUCCGCUCCGGCCCCUCCUGGGGCCCACACUCGCGCUCCGGGCCCG